GGCGGACGGGUGAGUAACGCGUGAGCAACCUGGCCUUCAGAGGGGGAUACCGUCUGGAAACGGACGUUAAUACCGCAUAACAUGUCGGGAGGGCAUCUUCCUGACAUCAAAGGAGAAAUUCACUGAAGGAUGGGCUCGCGUCCGAUUAGGUAGUUGGUGGGGUAAUGGCCCACCAAGGCGACGACGGGUAGCCGGCCUGAGAGGGCGACCGGCCACACUGGGACUGAGACACGGCCCAG
rnacentral:rRNA from 1 species